rnacentral:rRNA from 1 species
UACGUAGGGGGCCAGCGUUGUCCGGAAUCAUUGGGCGUAAAGAGCGCGUAGGCGGCCAGACAAGUCCGGUGUGAAAGUCACAGGCUCAACCUGUGAAUGCCGCUGGAAACUGUCUGGCUAGAGUCCGGAAGGGGCGAGUGGAAUUCCUGGUGUAGCGGUGAAAUGCGUAGAUAUCAAGAGGAACACCAGUGGCGAAGGCGAGUCCCUGGACAACACCUGACACUGAGGCACGAAAGCUAGGGGAGCAAACAGG